rnacentral:rRNA from 1 species
UAAUACGUAGGGGGCGAGCGUUGUCCGGAAUUACUGGGCGUAAAGCGCGCGUAGGUGGUUUUCUAAGACCGAUGUGAAAUCUCCGCGCUUACCGUGGAGAGGUCGUUGGUGACUGGGAGACUUGAGUUUGGCAGAGGUGAGUGGAAUUCCCGGUGGAGCGGUGAAAUGCGUAGAGAUCGGGAGGAACACCAGUGGCGAAGGCGGCUCACUGGGCCAUGACUGACGCUGAGGCGCGAAAGCGUGGGGAGCGAACCGGAUUAGAUACCCGGGUAGUCCACGCCCUAAACGAUGGGUACUAGGCGUGCGGGGUAUCGACCCCCUGCGUGCCGUAGCUAACGUGAGAAGUACCCCGCCUGGGGAGUACGGCCGCAAGGUUG